AAUAAACCAAUUUUUUACUUUUUACUUACAAAUUUUGACUCAAGGUCUUAUUUAAAAUUUUUUUAAGAUUGAUAUUUUUAUUUUUAUUAGAUGAUAAAUCAUGAAUAGUACUUUACGUGUGACUAAUUUUUUCUAAUUUUCUAAAAUUUUUUCAAAUAAGACGGAUGGUCAAACAUUGGAUACGGAAACCGGAG
rfam:Oryza brachyantha chromosome 10, whole genome shotgun sequence.